CGCCACCACCGUCUUAUUACUACCACGGCUUCUAUCAUUGCCACUGCUGCUGCCACCGCCAUCCGAUGCGUCAUUGUCACAUCACCGAGCAUCUCAUUCGAUAUACGAAAUCGUGUUCGCCAACACGAUAGCUGCCGAGUUAUACUACUGUAUGUCGCAUACACCCUGUCGUUCAUCGCGUUCUCGUGUCUCGCGUUCUUGUGAUCAGUAGGCGUGUCGAGGGUGACAACCGUGUAUAAGAGCGAAUAUCACACGACAUUGCAAACUCAUCGCAUCUUGAAAAAGAGAUUCUUCGAAGGGGAUACAGUAUGGCUUCAGUACUUUGGGAUAUCCCUGAGAAUAAUUUUCUUUCACUAGUCUUCGUGUUAUUCUUGCUACUCUGUCCACACAACUCCACAGG